rnacentral:rRNA from 1 species
UACGGAGGGUGCAAGCGUUAUCCGGAUUCACUGGGUUUAAAGGGUGCGUAGGCGGGCAGGUAAGUCCGUGGUGAAAUCUCUGAGCUUAACUCAGAAACUGCCAUGGAUACUAUUUGUCUUGAAUAUUGUGGAGGUAAGCGGAAUAUGUCAUGUAGCGGUGAAAUGCUUAGAUAUGACAUAGAACACCAAUUGCGAAGGCAGCUUGCUACACAGUAAUUGACGCUGAGGCACGAAAGCGUGGGGAUCAAACAGG